UGCGCAGGCGGCCUGAUAAGUCAGGGGUGAAAUAUGACGGCUCAACCGUCAAACUGCCCCUGAAACUGCCAGGCUUGAGUCCGGGAGAGGAAGGUGGAAUUCCAGGUGUAGCGGUGAAAUGCGUAAAUAUCUGGAGGAACACCGGUGGCGAAGGCGGCCUUCUGGCCCGGAACUGACGCUCAGGCACGAAAGCUAGGGGAGCGAACAGGAUUAGAUACCCUGGUAGUCC
rnacentral:rRNA from 1 species